rnacentral:rRNA from 1 species
UACAGAGGGGGCAAGCGUUAUUCGGAAUUAUUGGGCGUAAAGGGCGCGUAGGCGGCCUGGCAAGUGGAAGGUGAAAUCCCUCGGCUUAACCGAGGAACUGCCUCCGAAACUGCUUGGCUUGAGACCGGGAGAGGUGAGUGGAAUUCCCAGUGUAGCGGUGAAAUGCGUAGAUAUUGGGAGGAACACCAGUGGCGAAGGCGGCUCACUGGACCGGUACUGACGCUGAUGCGCGAAAGCGUGGGGAGCAAACGGG